rnacentral:rRNA from 1 species
AGAGUUUGAUCAUGGCUCAGGACGAACGCUGGCGGCGUGCCUAACACAUGCAAGUCGAGCGAAGUAUAUCUAAGUGAAGUUUUCGGACAGAACGAAGAUAUAUCUUAGCGGCGGACGGGUGAGUAACGCGUGAGCAACCUGCCUUUCACAAAGGGAUAGCCUCGGGAAACUGGGAUUAAUACCAUAUAAAACUUGCCUUUCGCAUGAAAGGGAAGUCAAAGCGAUAAGCGGUGAAAGAUGGGCUCGCGUCCUAUUAGCUAGUUGGUGAGGUAACGGCUCACCAAGGCGACGAUAGGUAGCCGGCCUGAGAGGGUGAACGGCCACACUGGAACUGAGACACGGUCCAGACUCCUACGGGAGGCAGCAGUGGGGGAUAUUGCACAAUGGAGGAAACUCUGAUGCAGCGACGCCGCGUGAGUGAAGAAGGCCUUCGGGUCGUAAAGCUCUGUCCUAGGGGAAGAUAAUGACGGUACCCUAGGAGGAAGCCCCGGCUAACUACGUGCCAGCAGCCGCGGUAAUACGUAGGGGGCGAGCGUUGUCCGGAAUUACUGGGCGUAAAGAGUUCGUAGGCGGUUUGAUAAGUCAGAUGUGAAAGGCGUAGGCUUAACCUAUGUAAGCAUAUGAAACUGUCAGACUUGAGGUAAGGAGAGGAAAGUGGAAUUCCUAGUGUAGCGGUGAAAUGCGUAGAUAUUAGGAGGAAUACCAGUGGCGAAGGCGACUUUCUGGACUUAAACUGACGCUGAGGAACGAAAGCGUGGGGAGCAAACAGGAUUAGAUACCCUGGUAGUCCACGCCGUAAACGAUGAGUGCUAGGUGUCGGGUAGAAAUAUUCGGUGCCGCAGCUAACGCAAUAAGCACUCCGCCUGGGGAGUACGUACGCAAGUAUGAAACUCAAAUGAAUUGACGG